UGCACAUCAGAUUUUGUAUUGUCCUUCUGU
rnacentral:piRNA from 1 species